UCCAUUCCCUCAGUUCAGGGGAGAAAGGAGAUUGCAUCGGUGAUAGGAGGGUGAGGUUGGAAUAUCUCUUCCUCAGCCACCUUCUGGACAGUUUGCAGGAAGCAUGAUACAUAUCUAUGGUAUCAGAAUCCACUCCUCAAGUUAUACUGCUUGACAGCUUGGUUGCCUGCAUAAUAGCAAGAAGCCAUGGGCCUGAACAGCAUCACAUGAGUAAAGUUAGCUGCAAGAAGAACUUCCACAAAUGGAAAGGGCAAGAACAAGUCCCAAGACUUCAUCUCCCGAGGGGUGCUUAGGAAUACAGACAGACGAAAGGCUACAGAGUUGUUCUGUGGCUAUACAAGACACCAUCUUGUUCUCCAAGAAAGAAGGCCAACUUCUUUUCUGGAACCCAGCAAGUCACCCUGCAGCCGUAAACUAUUGAAUGGUUCCUCUUAAGUGGAGAUGGUAAACAGAACCCUGUAUGGACUGUCAACAGCCUCCCUAUACACCUUGGUGUGCAGAGCUAGUUGCUGAGACAUAGGUGGGUAAAUCUAUUUCGGAGCCAAAGAGCCUUCUGGGUGGACCUGUUUAUUUUACUCUGAUAGAUUUAGAAGUUUGGGACAGCAAUGUCGCCAAGAGGAACUCAAGAUAAGGCAGUUAGGAGUGAUGUCCCAGGCUCAAUACAAAGGCUGAGCACAGAAGAGGCUGGCUGGGCACAGCUGCUGUUAAGGCAGGAAGCCCCUUCUGCCACACCAGCCCAUGAGAAUCUUGCUUUAGGAGAAAUGACAGAACGUGUGAGGGGAGCCAGAAGAGUUGCCAUCCUGCAUCACUCUGGUCUGUGUGGGGAUCUGGACUGGUAAGGGUACCUUUGUGUGGUGGACAGAGAUACCCAGAGGGAACAGAGAUGUUGCACGGCAGUAGAAACAGCUGCAGCUCAAAACCAGUGCCCUCUGGUGAACUGACCUAGCUCCCUAGUAGCCUUCCUGCCUGUUUUGAAGCAGCACUGACCCUGGGGGCUAAGCAAGCCUCCUGACAGUCUGUGGGAGGUGGGGAAGUACAUACUGUAAGAGGGAGACACUGGACUUCUUGCUGAGGUAGGCAGGUGGGUACUUGAGGAUUUGGAAAAUUAAAAGGGAUGCAAUUCCAUUUAUAGCCCAAGCUAUUAAAACAGGCCGUAAGUAUGUAAUGUGUGCUGAGUGCAUUGAAAGGAGAAGUAGGUGCUAUGGAAAUAUCUAACAAGGGGAUUUGAAGUAAUGGGUGUCGUGAGGGAGUAGAGUCAGGGGUGGGAGUAGAAUCAGGGAAGGCUUGAUGAAGUGACAGCUUAGCUAAGAUUCAAAGGAUGACUCCAACUCAGGUGGACAAAGAAAAGAAAGUAUUUUAGAAAGAGUGAAUAUUAUAUGUGAAAACUCAGAAUUGCAAGAAUGAGAUACCUCUGUGGACCAGACAAUUCUGUACGGCUAGAGCUUGGAAAACGAGGGUACAAAGCCGAGAUGUGAGUCAUAGGACCAGGGACUUGUUGGGACUUCACCCAGCGAGCAGUGAGAAGCCAUGGAAGAGGUGUGAGCAGAGAAGACAUGGUAGAUUUGAGAAUUUAAACGCCUGUUCUAGCUAAAUUGAAAAUAGACCACAUUGGAGGCAGGAGUGGGUGCAGGGAGACAAGUAGGAGGGUUCUGCCCUAGACCAGGUUGAACCACAGUCGUGGCAGUGAGGUUGGAUCAAUAAGCUGGAAAAUGUUGUUCUCAUAUUGCUUCCUGCAUCAGAUGGAAAAAACACCUCAAAGAAGUUGAGUGAUUCGUACAAGAUCAUAGAACCAAUAUGUGGGAGCACCAGGUCCAGACCUAGCUUCUGUCACUGGUUUAAAGCUCUAUCCAGAGUACCAGAACUUCUCAAGCUUCUUCUGUGACAUGAGUUUGUCUACAUGGCAGAUGCAUUUCCACACGUGUAUCUGUUUACUCCCUUGCAAGAAAGCAGAUCCCAAAGCACAAGAGUUAGAGAGGGGGGUUAUUACAUAGGCAACGGUGAUUUCACUCUGGUUCAUUAAAAACAGAAAAGGAAUCAUUUGAAAAUGUAUUCACUUACCUCUUAUUAGUAACAAAUCUCUCCCAUUCCAGUUGGUGCCUGAGACUUGCACCCAGCUUGAAGCUACUGAUAGCUUCACUUACUCUUGAGAUUGGGAUGGGGGAUGAGGGGAGAAUUUCUUUUUUCUGCUCUAUCUUUAAGGAAUGUUGCUCCAUUUCAUUUUCCCAAAGAGAGUAGGGACAGAAGACUCUGCUGCUCAUUUCUGAGGUGACUAAUGGGCUCUCAGGUCCCAGGUCUGGAACCUUGGUUAUAAAGUUGUUUCUGAGAGGUAUGUAUGAGGGAGGUAAUGAAAGAAUGCAGAAGGUAAGAUUCUGAUGAGCUGCAUCUGUCAUGACUCUCUGAGGUCACAGAUUUGCAGAAGUGAUUCUGUUUAGUCAAAGUUCUUUGGGGCAAGACCCUGUAAUUCCUCCUUUAUGGUGAAUUGCCCUUCCCCUCCACUUCUAUCCCCACCCCCCUCUCUCCCCACCCCAUUUUUCCUCAUUUCCUCCCUCCCUUCUUCCCUUCAUCCUUCCUCCCCAACCCCCCUCUUUCUUUUAACAAUAGUUCUUGGAUGCUGGAUUCCAUAGUAGAGGGUUUUGUGGUUAAUACCCAAGCUAAUGCACACAUAGGUCAAAGGAAAAAUUAUGACAAUAUUUCACGGCAGAUGAGACUAUAGAAGUUAGACUGUAGAUGUAGGAUAAAAAUCACCUAAAAGCCCCCCAAUUCGCAAAUAGUGACCAUUCCAAAUUCCUACUGAAUUACUCCCAGAUGCAUUUUCCUUUUCUAUAGGCCAUGUUUAGAUCUUGGGAGGAGCUCACUGGGUGCUGACAAAGGAAUAGUUUUAGAAAGCACCAGAUAGGCCUGCAGGUAUUCUGGCAUGGGCUCAAAGGCCACAGGCAUCCUCUGUCCCAGCUGUCACAAUAGAAUAGGAAUGGGUUGGUGAGCAUGUGACAGGGUGAGGAGGGAGCUGCUGAAAGACCUCAGGGUACCACCAAUCAUGUGCUUUCCCUACCCCCAGAUGGCCUCAUACUUUUUUCCUUUCCUUACCCAACCAGAAGAUUCAGAUUCUUGUGGGAAGGAGGAGGGCUCAGCCCAGCUCAGACCCAGAAUGGAGAAAGGAGGAAUGAGAACUAAAGGAAUCCUCAUAAAGGAUCCUGGCAUCCUCCCACGAGUGAACUCUGACCACAUACUCAUCUGUAUUGCGAAAAUAACACUGAUCUCACGAGGCUAAUGACAUUUUCUUGGCUCAAAGAUCACAGCAAACAAUUUCGGCCACAGGAACAAAACAUUCCUUUAAAAAUAUUCAGUGUAAAGAUUCCAGCUCACUGAAGACUGGAGCCAUUUUUUUUCUGGGGGAAAAAUCAUCAGGAAAAGCCCAAAGCAAUUCAUAAGCCCUGCGUGGACUGAAUUUGAAGCUGGGCAGCUGUAGGCCAGUGAGGCCAAGCAGAGCCUCACACUGCAGAUACCCAGUCCACUCAGUUACCAUGAAUGAAACUCACUUACCUUUUCCAGAAUAAAACUUUUGGCAGAUCCGUUUUCUUAGGACUAUCAUUGUGGCUAUGAACAUUAAAGCAAUGAUGAAGGAGAGGAUGAAAAUAUGAAGCAGUGAAGAUGGACGGAUCUCGGGGGAUUCCAGAUCACCUGGAGGAAAGAAAAGCACCAGAAUCCCAUUACAUGUUAGCUUAGAGGUAAACCAACAAGUUGGCCAAAUGACUGGGUUAUAACCAACAUGGCCAACUUGCACUGAGCAUUUACUCCAUGCCAGGUACUGUCCUAUGAAUGCUGUAUGUAUAUGAAUGCUGUAUAUAUAUGAAUGCUGUAUGUAUAUGAAUGUUGUAUGUAUUAGCUCUUUUACUCCUCACAACCAUCCUAUGAGACAGGCUCUACUAUGACCCUCAUUUUACUGAUGGAGGAAGUGAGGCACAGAGGCCUUUCCCAAAGUUAUACAGUAAGUGACAUAGCUUAAGUAAGUGACAUAGAUAUAAUCCAGGCUGCCUGGUUCCAGAUCCCAUGCUUUUCAUCAUUCUGAUACACCUAUCAUAUUAUGUCUUCCUUCCUUCUUUCUUUCUUCUCUUUCUUUCAUUCCUUUCUUUCUUCCUUCCUUCCUUCCUUCUUUCUUUCUCCCUUCCUCCCUUCUUUCCUUCCUUCCUUCCUUUUUUCUUCUUUCUUUCCCUUCUUUCUCUCUCUCCUUCUCUCCUCCUUCAUCAUCUCUCUUUUCCCAGUAGGAUAGUCUCUCAGCCCAAAUAUGUCUCCUCACUCCACUGGUAAGCACUCAUGGUGCUUAGAAUUUUUACCAUCAGUUAUUCAAUCUCCAGGAUUAACAGGAUCCUUUUGAAAAAACUAGAAUAUCAUACCUUAGCAUGAAUCACUACAACUAGCCCUUUUCCUUGUCUCAGCUAAUCAAGGUCUGACAGUGAGGAAAAGAUGAAUUAGUAGAGAGGUGGAUGAGAAGAGUAAUUUUGGAGGUUGGGGGAAAGACUUGUAAAGGAGAGCUCUGGUUAGAAUGAGGGCCCCAGACUGACAAAGGGCAGGCCUGGAGGGGCGUCCACUGUAGGGAGAUGGAAGGGUAUCCAGGAUAAACUGUGCCCUUUCCAAAAGGCUGAAUUUUGCCUCAUGGAGUAACUCAUAAAGAAUAAACAUAACAGGGAAUUCCCUGGAGGCCCAGUGGUUAGGAGUGUGCGCUCUCACUGCUGAGGGCCCCAGGUUCAAUCCCUGGUUGGGGAGCUAAAAUCCCACAAGCUGUGCGGCGUGGCUAAAAGAGAAAAAAGAACAUAACAGCCUGGUCCAGGAAAAACGUGGCAAAACUGCUCAUGAGGAAGGGCUCAGUCCUGCCAACUGCCCUCCCCCUCCCCUAUCAUAGGGCUGUCUGAGAAUCACAGACAGUUUUAGCUGAGGAGGGAUCAGAUAUCAUUUGAUGUGAGGCCUUCGUUUUACAGUUGAGGAAGUAAGGCUCUGAGAUGCUAAAUUAUCUAUAAGGUCAUCACUGCUAAGUAAGUGACGAAGCCAGGAUUGCAAACCUAGAUCUGUCUGAUCCAAAGCUCAGGCCCCACAGAUAUUUGUCUCUAUCCUAAGAUUGUGGUGAACAUUAAGAAAAAUAAAAAGCAUUAUGAAGUCUGGUUCAUCUACACAUUGGAUAAUCCAUAUAUAAAAAUUUUAAUUGAGGUAUAAUUGUCAUAUAACAUUAUAUUAGUUUUAGGUAUACAACAUAAUGAUUUGAUAUUUGUAUAUACUGUGACUGAUCACCACAAUACGUCUAGUUAACCUCCCUUACCAUACAUAACCCAUAGUAAUUAAUAUCUUCUAGGAAAUGCUGAUUAAGCACUUGCUACAUGUAGCACCAUAAGUCAAAGAGUUCUCACUGUCCCCACAACAGGAGAGGCCCCUACUUCAGUGCCUUUAUGCAAACCCUUGUCCUGGGCAGGUUCCCUCAUAGUUCCUUCCACACACAAACUCUACUUAUUCCUGAAGACUUUCUAACAUUGAACAUCCAACAGGACAUCAGUCUGCUUAGAUUGUAAGUAUCUGAAGUGCAAAGAUUUUCUCUAAGUCAUCUCUGAAUCCCCUAUAGAGCCAGGCGCCAGCUACAUGAAAGGUGUCAAUAAGGAUCUGUUGGGCUGAAUUGACCAUCUGUCUAUCUAGUCUACCUUGCCCAAUCUUCCUUGUCAUUAGUUACCUUGUGGCAGACUGCUGCUUAUCCCUUAAAUCCAUUCUCCAUUUCUUCUCUAGUAUUAGCUAGGGAUUAGGUGGACACAUGGCUUCUCUGAGACUACAUUUCUAAUCCUCCCCUGCAGUUAGGUGUGGCCAGCCACGUGAACUAAGUUCAGGACUAGAGAAUGGGUCUUUUGAGUCUUGGCCUUCAAACACUGAAUGUGUCUCUUUUCCUUUCUGAAGGCUGAAACAUGAAUGUGGCAGUGACCCAGCUUUGACAAUUCAGCAGGGGUAACAUCCUGGAGAGUGCCAGAGCAACAAGAUGGAAAGAACCUGGAUUAUUGAAUACUUUAUGGAAUAUAGUGACUUACCUGCUCUGAACCACCUUCUAUCUCUGACUGUGACAUCAGAGAGAAAUAUACUCCUGCUUUAUUUGAGUCACUGUAUUUUGAGGUUACUUAGCCUACAUCCUAAUACAUCUUCUUUUAGAUUG